rnacentral:lncRNA from 1 species
AAAUAUUUUGCCUUUUCACGAGUCACGGAUUAAGAAAAUCAUCGAUCACGUUUCACGGCUAAGUAAAAUAAGCCCUUCACGCUUCACGCAAAAAGUAUAGGGGGACCGAUCACGUUUCACGGCUAAGUAAAAUAAGCGCUUCACGCAAAAAGUAUAGGGGGCCCGCGGGAAACAGGAAAAAGCUCCAAUCAUGGCCAAAAGUUUGUGGAACGCAAGCUAAUUAAUAGAUAUAAAGGCGCGCGAGUUAUAAUAUUUUCACAGAUCUCGCGAAAAGGGAACUUCCCCGGCCCCCUUUUCCAAUGUUGAUAUCCUAGUGCCAAUAAAGAGAUUGUGUGAAGCUUAUUCCAAGCAGAAAACAUCCCAAACAACACUGACUGUGGCCAGGGGGGAGGGGUAUUAUUCAAAUUAAGGGUAAAAACAUGAAAUCGCACUUUACGUUCCACAACAUUUGGCGUGUGGCGAGGGCAGCUCCUCAGCUCCUCUGGAAAGAAGAUAUAAACGUAGAAAAUGAAAAACUAAAGACUAUCGCCUGUAUUCUAAAACCUACCUCACACUCAAUCUCUCAAUAAGUGUAACUCAACAUUCAAUGAGUUUCCACUCAUCCUCACUAAGUAUGAGACUGCACUCACCCUCCAACCAUUCAAUGGAGUGAUAUUUUAGAAUACACGUAUGUAUAGUAUAUACAGUGAUGUAUAAAGUUUUCUGACUAAAGAGGUGCCAGAUGGCUAUUUUUGCAUUAUUUUUCAACCACUAGAAUUGCACUUGCUGUUUUUGGAUAUGAUUGUUUUUAAAUGUCGCUCCAAAUAAGCAAUGCAUGCUUUAUAAAACACCUUGUCCAUGGCUUCCAUGCAUGUAUGCAUGAGUGGCAAUGUUCCACUUCCCCUUUUUUCUGCACCACUGAUUUAACCCUUCCCAUUUAUACUACUGUAGUGAGGCAUAUGCUACGAUGGUUGAGAAGGGCCAUGACUGUAAACAUUCGCCUUUUUUUUCCAUUAGACUCGUUUUCUUUUCUUCAAAGUUACACUCGCCGUUUUUUUCUUCAGAAUUACACGCGAUGUUUUUUCAAUGCAAUAAUUAAUUACACGCGACAUUUUUUCAAUGCAAUAAUUACACGCGACGUUUUUUCCAAAAAUUACACUCGCCGUUUUUUUAGAGUUGCGUUUUAAACUGAGGGUUUCAAUUCGGAUGAAGAUGGGAGCAAUCAUAAGGUUAGUGUGUUUCCGAGUCAUCGAAACAAAAAUCCUGUAAAUAGGCUUACAGUACAAAAUUUCACUUUUUAGUCGGUUAUGAAUAUAAUGCAUUGCCAUUGACCAUUGGCAUUGUUUUCUUUUGUGUUUUCCAAACAAAACAAAAGCUUUGUGGGUUUUGCCAGGGUCAUAUUAUUUUACUUGUUGCACUUCUUCAUAUAAAUAUAUGUGUCUUGCCAUCGUAUAUAUACGCCUGCAAUGAUGCAACAAAAUCAACAAGAAAUGGCAUGUGUGUCACAGCAACAUGUGGCACAGGAAUAUAGCAACGCUGAAAUACGCAAAGCAUUUUUUUAGUUUGGAAAACACAAAGGGAAACCAUGCAUUAUAUUCAUAACCGACUGAAAAGUGAAAUUUUGUACUGUAUUUAAAGGAUUUUUUGUUUUGAUGAAACACACUAACCUUAUGAUUGCUCCCAUCUUCAUCCGAAGUGAAGCCCUCAGUUUAACAACGUAACUCUUAAAAAUAUGGCGAGUGUAAUUUUUGCAUUGAAAAAACGUCGCGUAUGUAAUUAAUUGUUGCAUUAAAAAAACGUCACGUGUAACUUUGAAGAAGAAAAAAACGAGUUUUUAAAAUAUUUUUAUACAAUGUUUCACGACUUUCGCCUAUAUAUACGUGUUUUUAUAACAGAUUCCUUUUCAAGGCACCAAAUAUAAAAAAGAAGUUCUUCAUAUAGCAACGUGCAAUGCUUGUAUUUUUGUAAUAAUGGGCUAUCUUCGCGUGUAAAUUAGUUGGGUCGUGACAGCGGCUUUCUUAAUUAUAGUUCAAGCCAACCUGACGAUUCUCUAUUUUCCACUAGGGGAAUUUGUUCGCUCGAAGCGAAACGAAAACCAAAUCUUGGCAAUGUGAUUGGUUGGCGAAAAAAUUCGCCGCGAAAAAGUUGGAUCAGUUCCUACUUUUUUACUGUUCGCACGAACAAAUUCGCCAAAUGAAAAAUGGGCUUUAUGCUUGACUUUAAUGUUGAUAUAGUUAGCAGAAUUUUAUUGAAUUUUUAGUGUAGCUACAAUCCUAGACAAAUAACAUGCGGACGCUGAUUAAAAAUGGCUGAAAUUUAAAGGAAUCGAAUAAUUAUACGCAUAUUCGGCCGUAUUCCCCGCUCCCUGUCACUGACUAAUUAUAUGCAUAUUCAGCCGUAUUCCCCGCUCCCCCGUUACAAUGUUGUAGCUACAGAUACUGCAAUAGUUGCCAUAAUGACUGAAGUGUUCAUCAACAUUGUUUCAGGGGAGGGGGGACCGACUUUACGAAGUAUAUAUGAAAAUGUUUCAAAAAAAAAUUUAUUUGCCAUGUUUGUCCGAG